CUACGGGUGGCACCAGUGAGGAAUAUUGCACAAUGGAUGAAACUCUGAUGCAGCAACGCCGCGUGGAGGAUGACGCAUUUCGGUGUGUAAACUCCUUUUAUAUGUCAAGAAAAUGACGGUAGCAUAUGAAUAAGCACCGGCUAACUCCGUGCCAGCAGCCGCGGUAAUACGGAGGGUGCAAGCGUUACUCGGAGUCACUGGGCGUAAAGGACGCGUAGGCGGGUUGGAAAGUCAGGUGUGAAAUCCUACAGCUUAACUGUAGAACUGCACUUGAAACUUCUAAUCUAGAGUAUGGGAGGGGGAGAUGGAAUUAGUGGUGUAGGGGUAAAAUCCGUAGAUAUCACUAGGAAUACCUAAAGCGAAGGCGAUCUCCUGGAACAUUACUGACGCUAAGGCGUGAAAGCGUGGGGAGCAAACAGGAUUAGAUACCCGUGUAGUC
rnacentral:rRNA from 1 species